UAGAGUAAAAGGUCGAUCUGAGUAUUUUGAGGAUAUCGAUAUGGACAAAACAAAGACGUGUUAAAGAUAUUUUAUCGUAAAAAUAGACAUUUUAAGCAGUCUUACUUCUAUAUAAUGCGUGCAAGUGGAUAAGCUUUAAGUGAAAAUGUACUUACAGGCACAUGGAGGAAUGUUAGGAGACAGAAUGGAAUGGAGGAGUCCAAAUGCCUGAGGAAGUGAGAUAAUUGUGUGUUGUACUUAACAUCCACUGUAGUGGCCUGGGCAAACAGACCGAAUCAAAAUACUGACCGAUCCAACAUAGAGUUGAAAAUAAGAGAUGUUUGGACCAUUACAAACAGGAAACUGAAGCAGAGCUCUGGGACAUUUGGUCAGACAUUCACUGUAAUGAUGGACAUCAGCUCAUGCACAGAAUAAGAGAUGUGUUUGGACCGUUACACCCAGGGACAUGUGGACAGACAUUGGCUGUAAUGAUGGACAUCUGCUCGUGGAUGGGCAAAAGCAUAACCCCUGCUGGACAUCGUGCUGGAGCUUAGGGAGGGCCCCCUGAUCCCCUGAGCCUUCUCACUCACACCACACCAUUCAUUCAUUCUUAUCGCUGAGAUCUGGCUGGACUCGAACCAGCAACCUCUGAAACCGUGAAGCAGUGCUCUUAACCAUUGAGCCACAGAUCUCUUGUCUGGACAAGUGAAGGAACUUAUAUUUCACUAUCCAUCAAAGUUACUAAACCAGCUAAAGAUACAAAAGUUUUUUUUUCAUACAUGCUGAGGUGGGGUUUGAACCCACAACUCUAUCGCAGCCUUGCCCCCAAUUAACGUGUGUUUAGCCACUGAGCCAUCGUGGCUUUCACAGUUAGAAAUGAUUUUCUGGUGCUUUGUUGGACAGAAUGACAACAAUUGGACUUAAGCAAUAGUGGGAUUUGAACCCAAGACUCCAUCGCAACCUUGUCCACUAUUAACGUGUGUUUAACCACUGAGCCAUCGUGGCUUUCACAGUUAGAAAUGUUUUUUUUGGGUGCUUUGUUGGACAGAAUGACAACAAUUGGACUUAAGCAAUAGUGGGAUUUGAACCCACGACUCCAUCGCAACUUUGUUCACUGUUAACGUGUGUUUAGCCACUGAGCCAUCGUGGCUUUCACAGUUAGAAAUGAUUUUUUUUGGGUGCUUUGUUGGACAGAAUGACAACAAUUGGACUUAAGCAAUAGUGGGAUUUGAACCCACAACUCUAUCGCAACCUUGCCCCCAAUUAACGUCUGUUUAGCCACUGAGCCAUCGUGGCUUUCACAGUUAGAAAUGUUUUUUUUGGGUGCUUUGUUGGACAGAAUGACAACAAUUGGACUUAAGCAAUAGUGGGAUUUGAACCCACGACUCCAUCGCAACUUUGUUCACUGUUAACGUGCGUUUAGCCACUGAGCCAUCGUGGCUCUCACUGUUAAAAAUGUUUUUUUUUGGGUGCUUUGUUGGACAGAAUGACAACAAUUGGACUUAAGCAAUAGUGGGAUUUGAACCCACAACUCUAUCGCAACCUUGCCCCCCCAAUUAACGUGUGUUUAGCCACUGAGCCAUCGUGGCUUUUACAGUUAGAAAUGUUUUUUUUUGGGUGCUUUGUUGGACAGAAUGACAACAAUUGGACUUAAGCAAUAGUGGGAUUUGAACCCACGACUCCAUCGCAACUUUGUUCACUGUUAAUGUGUGUUUAGCCACUGAGCCAUCGUGGCUUUCACAGUUAGAAAUGUUUUUUUUGGGUGCUUUGUUGGACAGAAUGACAACAAUUGGACUUAAGCAAUAGUGGGAUUUGAACCCACAACUCUAUCGCAACCUUGCCCCCAAUUAACGUGUGUUUAGCCACUGAGCCAUCGUGGCUUUUACAGUUAGAAAUGUUUUUUUUUGGGUGCUUUGUUGGACAGAAUGACAACAAUUGGACUUAAGCAAUAGUGGGAUUUGAACCCACAACUCCAUCGCAACUUUGUUCACUGUUAACGUGUGUUUAGCCACUGAGCCAUCGUGGCUUUCACAGUUAAAAAUAUUUUUUUUUGGGUGCUUUGUUGGACAGAAUGACAACAAUUGGACUUAAGCAAUAGUGGGAUUUGAACCCACGACUCCAUCGCAACUUUGUUCACUGUUAACGUGUGUUUAGCCACUGAGCCAUCGUGGCUCUCAUUGUUAAAAAUGUUUUUUUUUGGGUGCUUUGUUGGACAGAAUGACAACAAUUGGACUUAAGCAAUAGUGGGAUUUGAACCCACAACUCCAUCGCAACUUUGUUCACUGUUAACGUGUGUUUAGCCACUGAGCCAUCGUGGCUUUCAGUUAGAAAUGUUUUUUUUGGGUGCUUUGUUGGACAGAAUGACAACAAUUGGACUUAAGCAAUAGUGGGAUUUGAACCCACAACUCCAUCGCAACUUUGUUCACUGUUAACGUGUGUUUAGCCACUGAACCAUCGUGGCUUUCACAGUUAGAAAUGUUUUUUUUGGGUGCUUUGUUGGACAGAAUGACAACAAUUGGACUUAAGCAAUAGUGGGAUUUGAACCCACGACUCCAUCGCAACUUUGUUCACUGUUAACGUGUGUUUAGCCACUGAGCCAUCGUGGCUUUCACAGUUAGAAAUGUUUUUUUUGGGUGCUUUGUUGGACAGAAUGACAACAAUUGGACUUAAGCAAUAGUGGGAUUUGAACCCACGACUCCAUCGCAACUUUGUUCACUGUUAACGUGUGUUUAGCCACUGAGCCAUCGUGGCUUUCACAGUUAGAAAUGUUUUUUUUGGGUGCUUUGUUGGACAGAAUGACAACAAUUGGACUUAAGCAAUAGUGGGAUUUGAACCCACGACUCCAUCGCAACUUUGUUCACUGUUAACGUGUGUUUAGCCACUGAGCCAUCGUGGCUCUCACUGUUAAAAAUGUUUUUUUUUGGGUGCUUUGUUGGACAGAAUGACAACAAUUGGACUUAAGCAAUAGUGGGAUUUGAACCCACAACUCUAUCGCAACCUUGCCCCCCCAAUUAACGUGUGUUUAGCCACUGAGCCAUCGUGGCUUUUACAGUUAGAAAUGUUUUUUUUUGGGUGCUUUGUUGGACAGAAUGACAACAAUUGGACUUAAGCAAUAGUGGGAUUUGAACCCACGACUCCAUCGCAACUUUGUUCACUGUUAAUGUGUGUUUAGCCACUGAGCCAUCGUGGCUUUCACAGUUAGAAAUGAUUUUUUUUGGGUGCUUUGUUGGACAGAAUGACAACAAUUGGACUUAAGCAAUAGUGGGAUUUGAACCCACAACUCUAUCGCAACCUUGCCCCCAAUUAACGUGUGUUUAGCCACUGAGCCAUCGUGGCUUUUACAGUUAGAAAUGUUUUUUUUUGGGUGCUUUGUUGGACAGAAUGACAACAAUUGGACUUAAGCAAUAGUGGGAUUUGAACCCACAACUCCAUCGCAACUUUGUUCACUGUUAACGUGUGUUUAGCCACUGAACCAUCGUGGCUUUCACAGUUAGAAAUGUUUUUUUUGGGUGCUUUGUUGGACAGAAUGACAACAAUUGGACUUAAGCAAUAGUGGGAUUUGAACCCACGACUCCAUCGCAACUUUGUUCACUGUUAACGUGUGUUUAGCCACUGAGCCAUCGUGGCUUUCACAGUUAGAAAUUUUUUUUUUGGGUGCUUUGUUGGACAGAAUGACAACAAUUGGACUUAAGCAAUAGUGGGAUUUGAACCCACAACUCCAUCGCAACUUUGUUCACUGUUAACGUGUGUUUAGCCACUGAGCCAUCGUGGCUUUCACAGUUAGAAAUGUUUUUUUUGGGUGCUUUGUUGGACAGAAUGACAACAAUUGGACUUAAGCAAUAGUGGGAUUUGAACCCACAACUCCAUCGCAACUUUGUUCACUGUUAACGUGUGUUUAGCCACUGAGCCAUCGUGGCUUUCACAGUUAGAAAUGUUUUUUUUGGGUGCUUUGUUGGACAGAAUGACAACAAUUGGACUUAAGCAAUAGUGGGAUUUGAACCCACAACUCCAUCGCAACUUUGUUCACUGUUAACGUGUGUUUAGCCACUGAGCUUUCGUGGCUUUCACAGUUAGAAAUGUUUUUUUUUGGGUGCUUUGUUGGACAGAGUGACAACAAUUGGACUUAAGCAAUACUGGGAUUUGAACCCAUAACUCCAUCACAACCUUAUCCACUAUCAACAUGUGUUUAGACACUGAGCCAUCAUGGCUUUUACAAUGUUUCGGGCACUUUGUUGGACAUAAUAACAACAAUUGGAUUUAUGCAAUAGUGGGAUUUGAACUCACGACUCCAUGUUUAAAACACAACACUUUAUUUCCUGAGCCACUGAGACUGGGUAGUUUAAUAAGUGUUAUGGAUGAGUGUUAUUGGUUGUUCUAUUUUAUAUGAUUUUUUAAAAAAAACAAAAAACAAAUUGUGUGAUUUGAAACAAAACCCACAAUCUUACCAAAUGGGCAAGUGAAGACCUAAGUAAAUUAUUUAAUAUGCAUUUUAGGAGGUUGUCACAUGCUAGACAUGUACUGCUUAGACUUAAGCAAAGGUGGGAUUUGAUCCCAGAACUCCAUCGCAACCUUGUCCACAACUAACAUGUGUUUAGCCACUAAGCCAUUGUGACUUUCACAAUUAGAAAAGACAGAUGGGGUGCUUUGAUAGACUGAAUUACAACAAUUGGACUUAAGCAAUAGUGGGAUUUUAACCACUGACUCCAUCACAACCUUGUCCACUAUUAACGUGUGUUUAGACACUUAGCCAUCGUGGCUUUCACAAUGAGAGUUGAUGUUUUGGGCACUUUGUGGGAUAUAAUGACAACAAUUGGACUUAAGCAAUUGUGGGAUUUGAACUCAAGACUCCAUCGCACAAGACUCCAACACUUUAUCUCCUGAGCCACUGAGACUGGGUAGUUCAAUGAGUGUUAUGGAUGAGAGUUAUUGAUCACUCUGUUUUAUAUGAUUUAAAAAAUAUAUAGCAAAUUGUGGGAUGUGAUCAAAACCCACAAUUCUUACCAAAUGGGCAAGUGAAGACAUAAGUAAAUUAUUUUAUUUAAUAUGCAGAUGUGCAUUUAUUCAAUGCUAAACAUACCAUAUCUGAAUCUAGGACCAGGGUGAAUAAGACAUGUUAUGUUCACUAGAGUGAGUUAAAGCUGUUGCUGUAUAUUCUAGGAGCUGUCCAUCUGUUGCUUGGCUAGUCAUGAGUCACGGGCCGAAAGUCAAGACCUCAUAUGGUUGUUUCUAGGGCUUUGGAGCAGAAAGUGGGAGAUGGAAAUGUCUGUGCAACCCAAAGCCUUGGACCAGAGAGCCUCAUCGCAGACCAACGUGUUUAUUCAACGUGUUCCAAUUUGACGGAAAUCCAUUUCACCAGUUUGCUUUCGAAAAACGAGAGCAGGACUCGAAAACCCUGAAUGCGAAAGUGUUCUUCAGAGCACCUGCACGCUCGAAUGGGCUUCAGAUGCCAAUUAGGAAAUGGCCUGUGAAAUGACUUGAUAACAGCAGACUCCAGAGAUGGUGGAGUCCAAUUCGUUUAAAGCCAAGUAUUUGUGGCCGCUGGGGCUUGGGGGCAGAAGCUUGCUGAUAGUACAUUUAAAUUAUGUCUUGACCACAGCAGCCUGAAGUCAACCUUGAAGAACAUCAUUCAGUGGAUGCAAAGUGAGAGAAACUCAAAAGCCCUCUAAUAAUACAGCAUUAUCCCAGUGAACACAGGAUAAACUCUCCUCUUCAUAACCUGUCAUUCACUAGCACAAAUAAAUAAAUAACCAUCCUCCACUGGAACUAGGGGAAAAAAACAUACUUCAAUUGUCAACAUUUUUAAGGAGUUUGUUCUGUUAAAUUGAAAUGAUGCAGUCUGCAUGGCUGUAUGACUUUCUACAUGUACACAUGGUCCAACAAAGCAUUGGUUUUGAUUUCAUCAUCAACAGGUCCAAAAAUAGCAUAAAAGAAAAAAACUCAUUUGCAUAGGCAUAUGUUAAAAGUUUGUUGUUGUUUUUUUUGGUUGUUCUGCUUACUAAAACUAAUUAUUAAAAUAACACAACUGCAAAUUUUUCUCAUAAUUGUGAUUUCCUAACUUCCAAAUGCAAAAGUAUUUCUCACAAUGUGACUUUUUUUUUACCAUUUAUCACAAUUAUUCACACAUUUUCUUUUCUCUGAGGCAGAAAUAGGCUCCUCAGGUAUGAUUCACCAAGUAAAAACUAAUGAAAAAAUAAAUAAAUAAAUAGGUCUUUCAUUCAUAUUUAAUUCAAAAACCAAUGUGUCUUCAUAAGGUUCAGGUGCACAGAGAUAGAAACCGGCUCAUCUUGAGUGACACAAUAACCUUUUGUUUGUCACAAAUUUGCAAGGGAACCUAAAUCUGUUGACAUAGAGACAAAUAUAUAAGAAAUAUUUAUAGCUGGUAUAUUUUCUCAGUUCACCCACAACUGACAGAUGUCAUACAGUGAGAAUAGUAAGUCAAUUUCUGUUUAUGAUUGUUUCCCACUCCAUCUCUGUUCCACCAUCUCUGGAGUCUGCUGUUAUCACAUUGCCAACUGUGUCUGUCAGAUUGAAUUGAAGGCUGUUGAUCAUCAUUACUAAAAUGUUCAGCAGCUAAAAUUAUACAUUUUGAUAAAAUAACAUCAGAGAAUGAGGAUAGACAGAGCUGAGGGUAGACUUAGUUGCAUUUCUUGAAAGUAGGAUUUCUCAUUUUUGCUAUUUUUAGAAAUAAAUUAUAAAAUUAAAUAAAUCCUCGUCACAGCCUUAAUUCUAAUUAAUGACAUCUAUUCCACUCAACCGAGAAAGAAGAACUCCAUCUCACAUUAAACUCCUAUCCCUCUGACAAGCCCUCAUCAAUGCAAAUGGAGAUGCUGUAAUGUGGUAUCAAAACAAAGGCUGAAUGGACAUGGAGAUAAGCUAAUUGGUCUCCUAACAGAGCACAUUCUCUGGCCCAUCACAUAAUUGCAUUGCUGUAUGACUGAGGCACUUCUCGUCAUGGAAACAGGAGAUAUUUACAUUCUGACAAUUGAGAUCAGUGUCGAACCGCUCACUGGCCUAAUUAGUGGGACGGCCAAUGACAUCACAUGGUACUAAAUUGAUUAACAAAGCAACUAGAGAAGACCUUGACUGGUACAUGAGAAGACAAGGUUACAAUUAUGGUUAUAUACUGUAUAUACAGGGGUUGGACAAUGAAAUGGAACGCUGAUCAAUAUAGUGUUGGAGGUUUCACGCCUAUAUAUGCAUGGCCUGGUGGCCAAUCUUCGCUAAUUUUACAUUACAUCAGAAAGAGCAGAGUGUUAAGGUUGAAUUAGCAGAGCAACAGCUGUACAUAAAAUAUUGCAAUCUAUUCAACAUAAUGGGAUACAUAUCAGAGUUCAAAAGAGGACAAAUUGUUGGUGUGUGUCUCUGCUGGCUCAUCUGUGACCAGGACAGCAAGUCUUUGUGGUGAAUCGAGAGCUAUGGUAUCCAGGGUAAUGCUGGCAUACCACCAUGUAGGAUCAUAAACCACAUCCAACAGAGGUAACCGUCGAUGCAAGAGGAAGCUGCCUGAAAGGGAUGUCCAGGUACUUACCCGGAUUGUAUCUAAAAAACAUAAAACCACCACUGCCUAAUUCAAUGCAGAAUUGAAUGCUCACCUCAACACUACUGUUUCCACCAAAACUGUUCGACUGGAGCUCCACAGAGUCAAUUAUAGAUGGUCAGGCUGCUAUAGCCAAACCAAAGUGCCAUUGCCAAAUGUCGGUUUCAAUGGUGCCAACAGUGCAAAUUUUGGACUGUGGACAAUGUGAAACAUGUAUUGUUCUCUGAUGAGUCCACCUUCACAGUCUUUCUCACAUCCAUGGGAGUUACGAUGUGGAGAAGCCCCAAAGAUGCUUAACAUCCAGACUGUUGCAUGCCCAGAGUGAAGCCAAGGGCUAGAUCAGUGAAUGGUUUGGGCUGCAAUAUCAUGGCAUUCACUACUGUGAUUGAUGGGACCGUGUGCACCUAAUGGUUCAAACAUUGUACCCUGAAGGAGGUGCCGUGUAUAUUGCAUGAUAAGGCACCAAUACACAUUGGUCACAGCAAGACUUGUGACAGAAUGGUUUGAUAAGCAUGAAAGUGAAGAUGAACAUCUCCCAUGGCUGGCACAGUCACCAGAUCUAAAUAUUUUUGAGCCACCUUUGGGGUAUUUUGGAUGCGCAAGUCAGAAAACAUUUUCCUCCAGCAGCAUCACCUGGCCACUGUUCUGGAAGAGGAAUGGCUCAAAAUCCCUCUAGCCACUGUGAAGGACAUGUAUCUGUCAUUCCCAAGACGAAAUGAUGCUGUAUUGGCCGCAAAAGGAGGCCCUACACCAGGGUUCCUCAGAUCUGGUCCUGGAGGGCCACUGCCUUGAUUAGCUUGCUCAUGAGUUUGAUCAGGGUUAAAGCUAAACUCUGCAGGGCAUUGGCACUCCAGGGCAAAGUUUGAGGAACCCUGCCCUACACCUUACUAAUGAAUUAUUGUGGUCUAAAAUCAGGUGUUUCAUUGUCCAACCCAAAUAUAUAUGUAUAUACUUGCUCUAUAUUGUUAUAUUUAUUUCAUUUUAUAUCUUCUUUUUACAUUUUAUCUCCAAACACUACAUAAUUUCCCCUCUUCAUGUGAAUGGUUAAUUUGCCCUAAAAAAUUCACCCACGCAUCAUCGCGUUACUAAUUUAAAAAAAAGGACUAUAGAUUGGUCAAGUGCAAUCACUGGCCGGUUAAAAGCAGUUAUUUGGCAAGUCUGAUCUGACACCCAAACAUUUUCAAUUCACACUUGGCAUUUCAUUAAAUCCAAAAGCGCUGUAAUCUAAUGAAAACUAAAUGUGUUUCUGCAGCAGCAACAAUAUCAAUGUCAAUUUUAAAGGGAUUAUAUUGUUGUGUGAUGAUAUUGAUGUUCUGUUGUCCACUUGCUCACACCCCAUAGCUAAUAUUAUUUUUCUUGCUAUCAUAUUUUAUAUUUAUUUGCAAAACUAUUCAUGGACCACUGAACCUAACAUUAUUAGAGGCACACAAACUUUUACUCACUGAGAUUUUCAAUUUGUAAAUGAUUCAUUAUAAAAAAUAUACAAGCCUGACUGCAUGACACUAUGGACUAAUUUAAUACAUCUACAAUGAGUAAUUGUUUUAAUAUAAUGGGAAAAGUCCCACAGCAAGAAAAACAUAUAAUUUCAAUAAAGUAUUAGGAAUAUUUAAACAAUACAUUUAAAGUCAUAUAAAAUAAAUUUAUUUUAAUAUAUAAAAUUAAUAGGAACAAGAUGAAAAGAGAAAUAUUUUUUUUUUAUUUUAUCUCUUUAUUUAUUGAUGCAAUAUGUCUACUAAAACCUCAAGUAUGGUUUCUUAUUCAGAUGUCUCUCAAUUAUCUUUUUUUAAUGAGCCCUGUGUCUGUGCAGCCCCAUUCCAAUGUAAUGAGCACUAAGACAUUAUCCGGCUAGGUUAAUGACCCACAAACCUGCCUCGCUUAAGCUAUUUGGAACUGAGCUAUUGUGCUCCUAAACAGCCACAAUGACAAAUUGUCCCAUAUACACACAUAAUCCACAUCACACACAUGUUGUACACACUAGAGCAUGUACACAAAGGCCUGUGCAUAAGAACACAAUCCAUAAACUGUAUAACGAAACUGAAUUGAAUCUCAAGAGCAGAUGGGGGAGGAGAGCGCAUUAUCGGAGGCAUCUAUAACAUCAGCGUUAUUGCUUGUUAUGAGAAUGUCUUCAAUGGGAACAGAGACCAUUUUAAAAGAAACACAAAGCUAAAAUGUUUCUGAUAAACUUUAACCAAUUUAAACGGAGGAGGCAAAUGCAAUUUUAAUUAAAAAUAUAUAUACACAAGUAGGAUCCAAAUGAGGUCUCAGACUCUUAGAACACUCCGCAUCACAUUCUAUAUGAAUACAAAGAGGAAAAAACAUUUAUUAUUUUUUUUCUACAAGGCAAUCUUUCUUAGGAUCUUGUAUUCAUGAGGUGAACAUUUUAAUAUCCUGUUUUGUGGAGAAUGAAUAUCUGGCCUCAGUCCAGCAGUUUAGUUCAUCUUCCAGCUUCACAUCUUUAAAAAAACACAAUCUCAUAGUAAAACAAAUUUCAGAUCUUGCAAUCAAUAAAAGCUUGCAUCAAACAGAUUGUAAGCCUUAGAAAAACAUAUAACUAUGGGUGUUACAAUGCUAACCAUCUAGCAGAUAAUAAAGAAAAAAUGUUGCUUUCACAUAAAAGAUUUGACAGUCCACUUUGGGAUGGGCAGAAUGCGGGAGCUUAUAGAAGAUUGAUCUUGAUACUUCUUUUCCCAUCUACUCUGAGAUGAAUCAUAAUUGCCUAAAGGCCUUAAUCAUGUGUAGAAUCGUGGAAUAAGGAAAGAUGUCAGAGACGUGGAGGGGGAAAAAAACAUGAGAGAGAUGGCGUGACAGAAGAAAAAUGCUCUCUGGUGAUUGAGCAUUGAUCGCUAUGGGAGGCAACCUAUUGCUUCUACCCCACAUUUCAUGCAGACAUACAGCCGACCCAGUGCAGGCAGUGACAUCAGGACCAAUCAACUCACAGCAAUGUGACAGAAGCACUAAUUACUACUGAAAAGGGGAGGAUAAGAGAGAAGCAUACUUGGAGAUAUGAAAAGCAAUCGGUGGAGGGGUCAGGGUAAUACACCAACAGUGCUGACAAUGUCAGAGUGGUGAUAUUUUCAAUGGAUGAGCAAUGAGCAGGCCAUCAAACUAAUGCACUCACCAACCCCCACGUCACUUUACUCCACAGGUUCAGGACGACAAUUCUGUCCAGACCAAUUAACAUCUCCUGAAAGCAGAUUAGGCGAUGAUGAAAAGAAAAUAGUGAUGGCUAUUAAUAAAAAGCUACGGUACUCUUUUUCAAGAUCCAAGAAGGGGUAUAAUGCAUUGAGAAAGCUAUCCAUUAGUAUUCCCAUUCAUCACAAUGGCAGUUGUUUAUAGCUGGUGCAGGACCACCUGGAAAUAUGAAAUUUGAAAUCCGCCAUCUUUGCUCAUGGUCACUCAGUUUAGCCUCCAGGUUUUUUUAAGCCAGUCACCUUUAUAAAUGUCAUAUAAGGGCUAAAAAAAAAAAAAAAAAAAACAGAAAUUUUGGGACAGGUGAUGGAACUGUCACUUGCUUUAUUGGGCCAGUGAUUAAUCAUUGGGUUUUCUAUUACAUUAAAUUUGUACACUACAGUUCAAAAGUUUGUGGCAAAAGUUUAAUGUUUUUGAAAGAAAAUGCUCAUCAAGGUAAAUAUUUUUUCAAUUUAAAGUAACUGUUUUCUAUUUUAAUAUAUCAUCACCUUGGAAUUAUAAGGUUCAAUCUGACAAAAUUAAGUUAUUCUUAUUCUUAAAUAACUUAAUUACAUUGUAAUUUUUUUAUGUAUUGUACAUUUUGGGACUUUUUAUUUAGAAAACAGAAAGAUUCUAUCUACAAAGUCGAAUGGAAUGCAAAAAAUUUGAAGCUCAAUAUCUCAAAACCACUCAGAAUGCAGAUAUAAUUCCAGGUGGCGAUGUUUUAAAAUGUAAUUUAUUCCUGGCCUGUGAGUUUUAAGAUUAGUUGGUGCUCAAGAAACAUUUCUUAUUUCAACAAAUUGAAACAAAAAAAGUCUUUCACUUGAUCCAUUUAAUGCAUCCUUGCUGAAUAAAAGUAUUAAUUUCUUACUG